rnacentral:lncRNA from 1 species
UAGUGUUUGUCAGGUUCAACUCCAGCUAUGGCUUCCCAGUGGAGGUCGAUUCUGACACCAGCAUCUUCCAGCUCAAGGAAGUGGUUGCUAAGCGACAGGGGGUUCCAGCUGACCAGCUGCGAGUGAUUUUUGCUGGGAAGGAGCUGCAGAAUCACCUGACAGUACAGCCGUGCUCUCCACAGCUGUCAUCUUCUGCACAGCAGCUCUGACAACGAGGAAGAGGGGGUGUGCACGUUGACUGUUGACAUCAUAGAAGGACUGUGGACAUCUCUGCAGACAGACAUCUACUGACUAUGAUGUUCCCUCAGAAGACGAGCAUGGGAAGGCCUCUGCACCCUCACCAACUCUUUCAGCCAGUUCCUUGUGCCUGUCAUGGCCAGGUGUACGGAACUCUACCUUACUUGCCCAUGACCUGGCUAUGUUAGAGAGUGCAGAUGGCAGGAGAACUUGUUGGACGAAUCAUUUCAUCUAACCGGCUAUGGGCCAUUCACACUGGGGUGUGACUUUAUAGGGAGUGUGACUGAUUUAGGGUCACCCACUCUCCUAUAAAUAACCCCUCACCCGUGCUUUGUAAGUAAGACCAAUAAACUCACCAAUGCUCU